UUCCGGGCGAUCUUGCCGGAGGCNACCGCCAGCGAGGCCCGACNAAGCCACGCGAGACGAAAGCCGCAAGGCAUGGCGCACUGCACAGNAACACGNGGACAACCNACCCNNAGGACNGGGANAACCCCGGGAAACGGGGAANAAACCCCGAAAGACCACGAAGGCNGGAACGCAACGAGGGCGAAAGCCCCGGCGCCNAAGGAAGGGACCGCGGCCGACCAGGNAGAAGCGGGCGCAGCGCACCCACCAGCCNACGACGGGNACGGGNGGCGAGAGCAAGAGCCCGGAGAAGGANUCAGAGACACGAAUCCAGGCCCUACGGGGUGCAGCAGGCGCGAAAACUUUACAAUGCUGGCAACAGCGAUAAGGGAACCUCGAGUGCCAGGUUACAAAUCUGGCUGUCGAGAUGCCUAAAAAGCAUUUCAUAUCAAGGGCCGGGCAAGACCGGUGCCAGCCGCCGCGGUAACACCGGCGGCUCGAGUGGUAACCGUUAUUAUUGGGUCUAAAGGGUCUGUAGCCGGCCGGAUAAUUCUCUUGGGA
rnacentral:rRNA from 1 species